rnacentral:rRNA from 1 species
GACGAACGUUGGCGGCGUGCUUAAUACAUGCAAGUCAACUGAAGCAGUGGUAGCAAUAUCGCUGUGGAGGUGGCGCACGGGUGAGUAACACGUAGGUAAUCUGCCUUCAGGUCUGGCAUAACUCCGGGAAACCGGGGCUAAUAGCAGAUGAUGCAGCGGCUCGACAUCGAGACAGUUGUUAAAGCUAUGGCGCCUGAAGAUGAGCCUGCGUCUGAUUAGCUAGUUGGCGGGGUAACGGCCCACCAAGGCAACGAUCAGUAGCUGGUCUGAGGGGAUGAUCAGCCACACUGGAACUGAGACACGGUCCAGACUCCUACGGGAGGCAGCAGUAAGGAAUAUUGCUCAAUGGGAGAAAUCCUGAAGCAGCAACGCCGCGUGAGGGACGAAGGGCUUUUGCUUGUAAACCUCUGUAGUGAGAGAAAAAAAUCCCAAUCUUUGGGACAUGAUGGUAGCUCAAAAGUAAGCCCCGGCUAACUACGUG